CCGUUGGGGCACAGAGCCCAGUGGGUGUUAGUGGUUAUGGCAUUGUGGGUAUGUGUUAUUCUGAUGCCUCUGCCGCGUGUUCCCAUGCGCAUUCCAACGGUGCACUUAGUGCUUUUCUCGUCAGGACUUCCACCAGACAGGAAAUGGGGACUGAGCUGGUUUCCAUCCAGGUUGCUCCUGUGGCCGAUGACUCUUCCGACAGCUGUGGGACAAACACGUUCCCAUCAGCGAAACAGUCUCCCUAAUUUGCCCAGGCUGACCUUGAACUGGCGAUCCUCCUGCCUCAGCCUCCCGCGUCGCUGAGACUACAGGCGUGUGUCACCAUGCCCGGUUCCGGGGUACAUUUCAAUACGUGCAAACUGAGUGUAACGAUCCGCCCGGGAUAACCGGCACACCCAUCGCCUCCGGUAGUGUCAUUUCUUUGUGUGACGAGCAUUCCAAGUCCCCCCUACUUGCAAUUUGGAGAUGCACAGACAGGGUCUCACUGAGCCACUGAGGCUGGCCUCGAAUUUGCAAUCCUCCCACCUCAGCCUCUGGAGUUGCUGGGAUUACAGGCAUGUGCCCCUUCACCCAACCCAUUUGUUCUCCUACUGCUGCCUAAACAAAAGGAAUGCGGUUGUCCUCGUGAAGACAUCAUAAGCCUAAAGAUUUCUUAGCUGUCUGGUUCCAACGUGAAGCUGCCUUGAACUUGAUAAAUCACACCCACACAUCUCUAGCACGGGCACGGAUGCUCACCGUCUUCUUCCUACCGCAGAGGCCUGACCAUGAUAAACCGCCAACCUUAGGAUACUGCUAACCCUACUGGUUGAUCCCAGUUAGCCCCGGAGUGUCCGAUCACUUACAGGUGAGCUGUGGGGGUCAGCAGCGCUCGCUCGCCAGUGCUGAGGUGCAGAAGCAGAGCACAGCUUCUGGCGCAGGUACCCAGCAGCAUCAAGCUUCGCCUCUCACUCUGUGGCCCUGGACAAGUUCCUUCACCUCUCACACCUUGGUUUUCUCAUUCAUAAAGUGGAGAGAAAAACACGGCU